rnacentral:lncRNA from 10 species
GGCACGAGCCACUGCACCUGGCAGCUUAUAGAUUCUUUUGGUUUUUCUACAUAAACAGUCAUGCCAUUUAUGAAUAACAAAGACAUUUUUAUUUCUUCCUUUCUACCUUUUACCCCUUAUUUCCUUUUCUUGCCUUAUUGCACUGGCUGAGACCUCUGGUACAAUAGUGAGUAGAAGUGAUAAGAGUGAACAUCCUGCCGGGUACAGUGGCUCUCGCUUGUAAUCCCAGCACUUUAGGAGGCUGAGGUGGGCGGAUCACAAGGUUAAGAGAUUGACACCAUCCUGGCCAACAUGGUGAAACAUGGUCUCUACUAAAAGUACAAAAAUUAGCCAGGUGUGGUGGCACACGCCUGUAGUCCCAGCUACUCGGGAGGCUGAGACAGGAAAAUCACUUGAACCCAGGACGUGGAGGUUGCAGUGAGCUGAGAUUGUAUCACUCCACUCCAGCCUGGCGACAGAGUGAGAUUCUGUCUCAACAACCAAAAAACAAAACAAAACAGAACAAAACAAAACAAAACAAAAACGAGUGAACAUCCUUGACCUUGGGGAAAAAUGUUCAAUAUUUCACCAUUGAAUAUGAUGUUAGCUGUAGCUUUCUUGUAGAUAUUCUAUAUCAGAUUAAGAAAUUUUUCUUCUGUUUAGUCUGCUGAGAACUCUCCUUCCUUCCUUCCUUCCUUUUUUCUUUCCUUCCUUCCUUCCUUCCUUCCUUUCUUUCUUUCUUUCGAGAGGGUCUUGCUCUGUCACUCAGGCUACAGUUUACUAGUGGGAUCAUAGCUUAACAGCCUUGAACUCCUGGGAUCAAGCGAUCCUCCCACCUCAGCCUCCUGAGUAGCUGAGAUUACGGGUGCAUGCCACCAUGCCCAGUUAAUUUAAAAAAAUUUUUUUGUAGCGAUGGAGUCUUGCUAUGUUGCCCAGGCUGGUCUGAAACUCCUGGCUUCAAGUGAUCUCCUCACCUCAGAAUCCCAAAGUGUUGGCAUUACAGGUGUGAACCACCUUGCCCAACUGAACAUUUUCUUUUGGCGUGAAUAGAUGUUGCAUAUUGUAAAAUGCUUUUCCUUCUUUAUUGAAAUUAUCCUAUGGAUUUUCUCCUUUAUUUUGUUAGUGUGGAUGAAAUACCUUGAUUUCAGAUGUUAAACCAACCUUAUAUUCCUGAAAUACAUACUAAUUGGUAAUAAUAUUUUCUUAUUUUAUGUAUUGUUAGAUUCUAUUUGUUUAUAUUUUAUUUAGGAUAUUGACUAUAUAUUAAUAAGUGAUAUUGAUCUAUAAUUUUCCUUUCUCCUAAUGUCCUUGUUAAGUUUUAGUGUCAACCUCAUAAAAUGAGUUGAGAAUUGAUUCCUCUUUUCCUAUUCUCUGGAAGAGUUUGUGUAAGAUUUUAUUCCUUACAUGUUUGGAAAAAUCACCAGUGCAACCUUAUUGGAUACUCUGGUACUCAACCUAAAUCUCUUCUAAGGUUUAAUGCACCCUUUCUCCAACUGCUCAAAUGUCUGAUGCUGACAGCUCACAACAUGUUCCUCCUUGGGAGCUACCUUCAGCUGCAGGGAACUGCCUCACCCAAGAUUAAGCUUAUUUUCAGGGUGCUAAGAUAGGAAUACUAAAGCCUAGCCCCUUUCCUCAAAUUGAUUCAAUUCUCAAUGGUUAUCUCAGCUCUAGGGCUUGGCUGAGGCCUGGGUUGCAACUGCAUUGUGAGUCAGUUUUUAUUUCUGGCCAAUCCUGUCAGAAACACCAGUUUCCUACAGAUGUGUCUCCCACUCCUGCAUGAAAUUCAGCAUCUCAGAAUCUGUUUCCAGGGAAACCAAUCUGAGACCAAAACCAUAUGGCCUUGAUGUUUUCUCAGUAGAAGCCUUUUAAUAAUUGAUUCAAUUUAUUUAACAGUUGACCAGUUAAUUUAUUUAACUAUUGAAUAGUUAAUAAUUGUAUAACCAUUCAAAUUUUCUAUUUCUUGUAUCAGUUUUGGUAAAUUGUGCUUUCCAAGGACUUUUUCCUUGGAAAAUCUCUAUUUUUAGUUUGUUGACAUAAGGUUGUUCAUAGUAUCUUUUCACAUUUUUAAUGUCUGUAGGAUAUGUAGUGAUAUCCCUUAUUUUAUUCAUAAAGAUGACAAUUUGUGUUUUCUUUGUUAUGGAUUAGUUGCUAGGAGUUUAUCAAUUUUAUUAUUCUUCUCAAAAAAUCAAUUCUUGUCUUUGUGGAUUUUUUCCAGCAUAGAUUUAUUUUUGAUAUCAUUGAUUUUUGCUUUUUUCUUAUUAUUUUCUUUCCUCUCCUUUCUUUUGAGUUUAUUUUUCUAUCCCACAAUGUUUAGAGAACAUGUCCUGUUUGAUUUCAAUCCCUUGAAAUUUGUGAAGACUUGUUUGUGGCCCAAAACAUGGUCUACUUGGAUAAAUGUUCUGUGUGUAUGUAUUAGUCUGUUCUUGCAUUGCUAUAAAGAACUACCCGAGACCGGAUAAUUUAUAAAGAAAAGAGGUUUAAUUGGCUCAUGGUUCCACACCGUGUACAGGAAGCAUGGCUGGGGAGGCCACAGGAAAUUUACAAUCAUAGUGGAAGGUGAAGAGGAAGGAGUCACGUCUUACAUGGCUGGAGCAGGAGGAAGAGAGAGAGAGGGGAGAGGUGCCACACACUUUUAAGCAACCAGGUCUCAUGAGAACUCAUUCCUUAUCAUGAGCACAGCAAGGGGGAAGUCUGCCUCCAUGAUUCAAUCACCUCCCACCAGGCCCCUCCCACAACAAUGGUGGUUACAAUUUGACAUGAGAUUUGGGUGGGGACACAAAUCCAAACCAUAUUAGUGUACUUGAAAAGAAUGUGUUUUCUAUAUUGUUGGUGCAAUAUUUUAUGGACCAAGUUAGUUAAUCAUGUUUUUCAAUCUUCUAUAUCUUACUGAUUUUUUUCUUUUUUGAAACAGAGUCUUGCUCUGUCGCCGAGGCUGGAGUGCAGUGGCGCGAUCUCGGCUCACUGCAAGCUCCGCCUCCUGGGUUCAUGCCAUUCUCCUGCCUCAGCCUCCCGAGUAGCUGGGACUACAGGUGCCCACCACCAUGCCCGGCUAAUUUUUUGUAUAUUUUUUUAGUAGAGAUGGGGUUUCACUGUGUUAGCCAGGAUGGUCUCAAUCUCCUGACCUCGUGAUCUGCCUGCCUCAGCCUCCCAAAGUGCUGGGAUUACAGGUGUGAGCCACUGCACCCAGCCUUACUGAUGUUUUUGUAUGCUUUUGCUAUCAGUUACUCAGAGAAGUUGUUAAAAUCUCUAACUAUGUAAAUGGAAUGUUAUCCCUGUUUUUAGUUCUGUCAAGUUCUCCUUUACAUAUUUUGAACCUGUAUUAUUAGGUACAUGUUAAUUUUUUAAUGUAUACGAUUGUUAGCCCUCUUAAUAAGGUAUAAUAUCUCUUGUAAUAUUUCUUGUCUUAGAGUCUACUUUGUUUUAUAUUAAUAAAGCACAACUGUUUUCUUUUGGAUAGUGUUUGCAGGGUUUAUCUUUUUCAUCUUUUUACUUUCAACCCAUCUGUGUAAUUUGCUAGGGUCUCAACUGAAUGUUGGGUGUUCACUGAAGUUUCUCCACUCUGGCUGGAUCCAAAUCCCAAUGUCUCCCAGCACUGUGAAAACUCCAGAUCUCCACCCAGCACUCCGUCUUCUAGUCACUGUUCUUACAUGGCCCAGGAAUUGGCCAAGACCUGAGAGAGUUUUCCACACAGACUUCUUGGGUUCUUUUUUUGUAGCACCGCCUCCGGCGUCCUGCCCCACCUUUAAUCUCAAUUGGCUCCUCAGCCUUCAACUAUGAAAUCUACUUCUCCUCCCCACACCCCUACACCCACCUUAGGCCAUAAAACUUUAUUGGCUGGCCAGGAAAAGAGCCAGGGGUAAGUGUCCCUCCCCUCC